GAGGAUCGAAUCUUGGAACUGUC
rnacentral:siRNA from 1 species